rnacentral:rRNA from 1 species
AUUGAACGCUAGCGGCAUGCCUUACACAUGCAAGUCGAACGGUAACAGGUCUUCGGAUGCUGACGAGUGGCGAACGGGUGAGUAAUACAUCGGAACGUGCCUAGUAGCGGGGGAAAAAUACUCGAAAGAGUGGCUAAUACCGCAUGAGAUCUACGGAUGAAAGCAGGGGAUCGCAAGACCUUGUGCUACUAGCGCGGCCGAUGGCAGAUUAGGUGGUUGGUGGGAUAAAAGCUUACCAAGCCGACGAUCUGUAGCUGGUCUGAGAGGACAAUCAGGCACACUGGGGCUGAGACACGGCCCAGACUCCUACGGGAGGCAGCAGGUGGGAAUGUUGGACAAUGGGCGCAAGCCUGAGCCAGCAAUGCCGCGUGCAGGAUGAAGGCCUUCGGGUUGUAAACUGCUUUUGUACGGAACGAAAAGCCCCGGGUUAAUACCCUGGGGUCAUGACGGUACCGUAAGAAUAAGCACCGGCUAACUACGUGCCAGCAGCCGCCGCAG